GGUGCUAUAGCUCAGUUGGUAGAGCAAUGGACUGAAAAUCCAUGUGUCCCUGGUUCGAUCCCGGGUAGCACCA
rnacentral:tRNA from 1 species